rnacentral:rRNA from 1 species
UACGUAGGAGACGAGCGUUGUCCGGAAUUACUGGGCGUAAAGCGCGUGUAGGCGGAUGGGCAAGUCUGCUGUGAAAGCUCCUGGCUUAACCGGGAGUGGUCGGUGGAAACUGCCAAUCUGGAGGACGGUAGAGGUAGGUAGAAUUCCCGGUGUAGUGGUGAAAUGCGUAGAGAUCGGGAGGAAUACCUGUGGCGAAGGCGGCCUACUGGGCCGGACCUGACGCUGAGACGCGAAAGCGUGGGGAGCAAACAGG